rnacentral:lncRNA from 1 species
CCUGUGACAUAUGGAAGUUCCCAGGCCAGGGAUCGAAUCCUAGCUGCAGCUACAGUAACUCACUGUGCUGAGCCAGGGAUUGAACCAGCACUGCUGCAGAGACACCACCAGAUCCUUAACCGAGUGCACCACAGUGGGAACUCCAAUCAAAUAUUUAAAUAGGAAAUGAUUAAUACUUUCUUAUUACAAUUUAUAUAUAUAAAUAUAUACAUAUGCUUAGCCUCCAAAUCAGCAUCUGAUAAGAGGGGGAAUACCUGAAGUCAAGUUUAAGGCAUGGACUCCCAUUAUUUCUACCACUUAUUAUGAUUGGAGGUAUUAGCAAACAUAAUUAGUAAAAAAAAAAGAAUUGGAAAGGAAAAGAUAAAAUUAUCUCUAUUUGCUGAAGACAUGAUAGAAUACCUAGAAAACUAGAAUAUAAAAACAUAUAAAAAUCAACACAAAAGAAAAGAAACCAAGAUUAAAUGCUUGAGUAUAAACUUAGAAAUUUGCAACACUUACAUGAAUGAAAGUUUAAAACUAACUCCUGAUGGACUGAGAAAUUCAAGAGUAAAUUUGACUAAGUGGAAUGAUGUCUCUCGUUCUUGGUCAAUUCAUCAUCAUAAAAAUAUUAGCUCUCUCCAAGUUAAUAUGUACGUUUAACCUGAAACCAAUAAAAGUUUGGAUUGAAAUAGGGUCUACUCAAGGUAACUGACUGAUAUCUUUUAAGUCUCUUCCUAUUUACAGCGCUUCUUAGUCUCUCACCCUUUCCCUUUUCCUCACACUAAGACCACCAUCCCCAGGUAAUCUCUCUAGCAAGACAGACCUCAUUAUGCGAUGGCUGUUUUCUGAGAACAAGGAGGAGGCAGCAAGAUCUUUAAGAUGCAGCCUUGCAAGCUGCGUGUCACUUCUGACACAUAUUAUUAAUCAUAGUCAGUCACUGGGCCAGCCCAGAUUCAAGGAAAAGGGAAAUAGACUCUUAUCUCAAUUUGAAAAACUGGCAAAGUAACAUUGUAAAAAAUAAAAAAGCAUGUGGGAUGGGAACUACUGUUACAGCCAUCUUUGCAAACACAAUCUACCAUAAAAUGCAAAUGAAAACUACAAAAAAACUUUCGCAUCCAUCAAAUUGCAAAAAUCUAAAAGUUGACAGUGGCAGGCUCGAAAGAAAUAGGCAAUCUCAUGCACUGCAGGUGGAAGUAGAGUGUGGUAAAGGCGCUAUGCAAGGGAAUCUGACAAUAAUUACCCUUUGACAGCAAUCAAUCAUAAUCCUACUUCUACCUACUUGAAUAGAAUAUGUACAUAUGCUGGUUGCGUUAACUUCACUUUUCUUUUCCUUGACCCAUAAGAGUAAGCAGUACAGAAGCUAUGAUUUUCAUUCUUUUAAAAUAACUAAAAGCAUCAUCAACUGAUAUGCUGAGCACCAUUGCUGGUCUUAUAUUCUGAUAAACAGAGGAACUCACGGUAUAUCUGAUAAGGUCUGAUUCUGCAAGUAACUUAAUAUUCUGCAUAUUUAUGUAAAGAUGAACUUUAGCUUCCAAGUUAUUCUUAAAUUAAUAUGUAAUGAAAUCAUUUGUCUGGGUAUUUCCUAUGCAUUCCCGUUAAUCUCCUAAUGACUUUAUAUUAGGCAUUGCACCUCACACUCCAAAAUUAGUAACAGACUUAUCAGAACUAUUUUCACAUAUACAUAUACUCCAUGUACACCUGAACAUAAGCAGGUUUAUUUCUAACUAUCCCUCAGAAGUCUUCUUUGUUGAGGCCUCACAAAAUCUCUUUACAAGGAGUACUCUCAAUUAUUUAUUUGAAUUUCAGGUAAUAGUUGGGAAAUCACAUUAGACUGAAGCCACUUCUAUCAAUGUUACUUUCAGAAAGCUAAAAAUAAAUAAAUAAAUAAAUAAGCCACCAGGUGAAGUAUUUAAAAACAAGACAUCUUAGUUCCCAUUGUGGCUGAAUGGGUUAAGAACCCAAAUAGUAUCCAUGAGGAUGGGGGUUUGAUCCCUGGCCUUGCUCAGUGGGUUAAGGAUCCGGUGUUACUGUGAGCUGCAGCACAGGCCACAGAUGACGCUGGGAUCUGGUGUUGCUGUGGCUGUGGCAUAUGCCUUAGCUGCAGCUCCGAUUCAACCCCAGCCUGGGAACUUACAUAUGCCACAGGUGUGGCCCUGAAAAGAAAAAUAAUAAUAAAAAAAAAAGAGAUAAAGAAAUAUAACAAUGACUUAGUUAUUAUUCUUAGAGACAUGAUCUCAAAAACAAGCAUAGUAUGCAUUACAACAAGCAUUUUAAAGAUCACUUUUGGCACAACACGGUAAAUCAAUUAUACUCUAAUUUUUAAAAAGUAAAAAAAUAAAGAUCACUUUUAAGAACAAUAGAAGUGGUUAUACAAUGCAGAAAUUAAUUACCUACAGGAUGCAUGAAAACCAUUUCUAAUUUGAUAUUUAUACAAUGAAUAAUCUGAAGCAUGAAAUUUCUUUUAUCAUACCUGUGUAAAACAUUCCUAUCUUUCAAAACAAAUUAUUUUUCCUAUUAUAGUUGCUUUAUAAUGUUCUGCCAAUUUCUGCUGUACAGCAGAGACCGUCACACACACACGCACACAUUCUUUUUCUCACAUUAUCCUCCAUCAUGUUCCAUCACAAGUGA